UCUCAAAACACAUCUCUUCUCUAACAAUCUUCUGGCGUCUUCACCACAACCACAAUACUCGUAUAGAAACGACCCUACCUACCAUAAUGGAAAGCAAUGGAUAAAGCUGAACUACCGAAACACACAAUUAUGGUGACAAAAUCAUCAAUCAAGAGAAAACCCUUGGCCAGUCUCACUAACAUCGUUCGUAACCCUAACCACACCUUCCAAUCGAAGAAACCUCUAUCUUCUACACCCUCUGAUUCAAGUAUCGGAUCCACUCAGAACCAUCCGAUUAAACCUCCCACACUCACCGCAGGUAACAAAAUGUGAAAAGCCAAAUAGAAGCCAGCUGGACAGCACUGAAGGCUUGGAAAAGUGGCUAUAAAGUUACCUAAAAUAAAGAGAUAUUUUUAUUUAAAUAAAAUAAGGUUUAUCCCUAUGAAUAUGUGUGUACUGAAAACUUGGGAAUUUCCCCCGUGUUUAAUAUUCUAAAAGUAUGGUAUUUUACUCUGAUAAAACAUUUCCUAACUACGAUUCUAA